rnacentral:tRNA from 1 species
GGGGAUGUAGCUCAGUGGUAGAGCACUCACCUAAUAAGUGUGAGGCCCGAGAUUUCAUUCUUA